rnacentral:rRNA from 1 species
GAUGAACGCUGGCGGCGUGCUUAACACAUGCAAGUCGAACGGAAAGGCCCUGCUUUUGUGGGGUGCUCGAGUGGCGAACGGGUGAGUAACACGUGAGUAACCUGCCCUUGACUUUGGGAUAACUUCAGGAAACUGGGGCUAAUACCGGAUAGGAGCUCCUGCUGCAUGGUGGGGGUUGGAAAGUUUCGGCGGGUGGGGAUGGACUCGCGGCUUAUCAGCUUGUUGGUGGGGUAGUGGCUUACCAAGGCUUUGACGGGUAGCCGGCCUGAGAGGGUGACCGGCCACAUUGGGACUGAGAUACGGCCCAGACUCCUACGGGAGGCAGCAGUGGGGAAUAUUGCACAAUGGGCGGAAGCCUGAUGCAGCAACGCCGCGUGCGGGAUGACGGCCUUCGGGUUGUAAACCGCUUUCGCCUGUGACGAAGCGUGAGUGACGGUAAUGGGUAAAGAAGCACCGGCUAACUACGUG